GAUGAACGCUGGCGGCGUGCUUAACACAUGCAAGUCGAACGGUGAACGAGGGAGCUUGCUCCCUCCGGAUCAGUGGCGAACGGGUGAGUAACACGUGAGCAAUCUGCCCCGAACUCUGGGAUAAGCGCUGGAAACGGCGUCUAAUACCGGAUACGACGCGCGAAGGCAUCUUCUGCGCGUGGAAAGAAUUUCGGUUCGGGAUGAGCUCGCAGCCUAUCAGCUAGUUGGUGAGGUAACGGCUCACCAAGGCGACGACGGGUAGCCGGCCGGAGAGGGUGACCGGCCACACUGGGACUGAGACACGGCCCAGACUCCUACGGGAGGCAGCAGUGGGGAAUAUUGCACAAUGGGCGCAAGCCUGAUGCAGCAACGCCGCGCGAGGGACGACGGCCUUCGGGUUGUAAACCUCUUUUAGUAGGGAAGAAGCGAAAGUGACGGUACCUGCAGAAAAAGCACCGGCUAACUACGUGCCAGCAGCUGCGGUAAAAC
rnacentral:rRNA from 1 species